rnacentral:rRNA from 1 species
UACGUAGGUGGCAAGCGUUGUCCGGAUUUACUGGGCGUAAAGAGCGCGCAGGCGGUCGUUCAAGUCGCGUGUGAAAGCCCCCGGCUCAACUGGGGAGGGUCACGCGAUACUGAUCGACUCGAAGGCAGGAGAGGGAAGUGGAAUUCCCGGUGUAGUGGUGAAAUGCGUAGAUAUCUGGAGGAACACCGGUGGCGAAGGCGGCAUCCUGGACCAUUACUGACACUGAAUAGCGAAAGCCAGGGGAGCAAACGGG